UGGCGGACGGGUGAGUAAUGUCUGGGAAACUGCCCGAUGGAGGGGGAUAACUACUGGAAACGGUAGCUAAUACCGCAUAACGUCGUAAGACCAAAGAGGGGGACCUUAGGGCCUCUUGCCAUCGGAUGUGCCCAGAUGGGAUUAGCUAGUAGGUGGGGUAACGGCUCACCUAGGCGACGAUCCCUAGCUGGUCUGAGAGGAUGACCAGCCACACUGGAACUGAGACACGGUCCAG
rnacentral:rRNA from 1 species